ACUAUUGUUACUCCAAUUAUUUUGAGGACUGACCCUCAGGGAUUUUUCUUUUACUGGACAGAUCAAAACAAGGAGACGGAGCUACUGGAUCUCAGCCUUGUCAAAGAUGCCAGAUGUGGGAGACACGCCAAAGCUCCCAAGGUAGGAGGCUGAGUGUUGUGCAUGCACCAGAUGCUGCCUUGAUUGUUUAGCUGUGUCACAAUAUCAAUUAAUUGCCCCAAUUAAAAGUUUCUACGUUGUAGAUGUUGUAAAACACGAUAGCCAGUAUGCUCUAAACACUUUCACUUUUAUUAAAAGACGGAAACAAUGAAUAAAUAUGUGGGCUCUUGGACAUAGGGGCUUGCUUUAUGUCCUCUAAUUUUGUCUUUGUUUGAAAAAAAAAAGACAACAACAACAAUGCCCAAGUUACUGGGUAAUUCUAAAUGAUUAAAAAGUACUUGAAAUUAUUUGAAAAAAUCUUUGAACCUUGUCAACAUAUGGGAACUAACCGUUAGACAUGAUGAAUGGAACUCCCAUAUAGCUGAAAUGCUCUGCAAUUGAAAUGAUUCCAUCCACAAUGCCAAAAGGUGUAUAGUCUUAAUUCUGCAAAUGUUACUAGUAAAGAUCAGCAUACUUUGGGAUGAAUUGUGUGCAGUGUCAUUUGUUUUGGUUUGAAAAACUUACUGAAGAAAUAUUCAAAGAAGUGUUUGCAGUCUAUUUAUUUUUUGAAGAUAAUUUUUAAAUAUUGGAUGAAGAACAAUUUUUUAAGCUUAGAUGAUCUGGUAGGAUAUAGUAGCAGGAUAUGUUGCCUUGCCAUCAAAGUUAAAAGCUAUUCUUCAUUUUAUUUAAAAUUUAGUACUUUACAUACUUCAUUUCU
rnacentral:sRNA from 1 species